GCAGUCGAGCGGUAGAGAGGUGCCUGCACCUCUUGAGAGCGGCGGACGGGUGAGUAAAGCCUAGGAAUCUGCCUGGUAGUGGGGGAUAACGCUCGGAAACGGACGCUAAUACCGCAUACGUCCUACGGGAGAAAGCAGGGGACCUUCGGGCCUUGCGCUAUCAGAUGAGCCUAGGUCGGAUUAGCUAGUUGGUGAGGUAAUGGCUCACCAAGGCGACGAUCCGUAACUGGUCUGAGAGGAUGAUCAGUCACACUGGAACUGAGACACGGUCCAGACUCCUACGGGAGGCAGCAGUGGGGAAUAUUGGACAAUGGGCGAAAGCCUGAUCCAGCCAUGCCGCGUGUGUGAAGAAGGUCUUCGGAUUGUAAAGCACUUUAAGUUGGGAGGAAGGGCAUUAACCUAAUACGUUAGUGUUUUGACGUUACCGACAGAAUAAGCACCGGCUAACCCUGUGCCAGCAGCCGCGGUAAUACAGAGGGUGCAAGCGUUAAUCGGAAUUACUGGGCGUAAAGCGCGCGUAGGUGGUUCGUUAAGUUGGAUGUGAAAUCCCCGGGCUCAACCUGGGAACUGCAUUCAAAACUGUCGAGCUAGAGUAUG
rnacentral:rRNA from 1 species